CGUGCCUAAUACAUGCAAGUCGAGCGAACGGACGAGAAGCUUGCUUCUCUGAUGUUAGCGGCGGACGGGUGAGUAACACGUGGAUAACCUACCUAUAAGACUGGGAUAACUUCGGGAAACCGGAGCUAAUACCGGAUAAUAUUUUGAACCGCAUGGUUCAAAAGUGAAAGACGGUCUUGCUGUCACUUAUAGAUGGAUCCGCGCUGCAUUAGCUAGUUGGUAAGGUAACGGCUUACCAAGGCAACGAUGCAUAGCCGACCUGAGAGGGUGAUCGGCCACACUGGAACUGAGACACGGUCCAGACUCCUACGGGAGGCAGCAGUAGGGAAUCUUCCGCAAUGGGCGAAAGCCUGACGGAGCAACGCCGCGUGAGUGAUGAAGGUCUUCGGAUCGUAAAACUCUGUUAUUAGGGAAGAACAUAUGUGUAAGUAACUGUGCACAUCUUGACGGUACCUAAUCAGAAAGCCACGGCUAACUACGUGCCAGCAGCCGCGGUAAUACGUAGGUGGCAAGCGUUAUCCGGAAUUAUUGGGCGUAAAGCGCGCGUAGGCGGUUUUUUAAGUCUGAUGUGAAAGCCCACGGCUCAACCGUGGAGGGUCAUUGGAAACUGGAAAACUUGAGUGCAGAAGAGGAAAGUGGAAUUCCAUGUGUAGCGGUGAAAUGCGCAGAGAUAUGGAGGAACACCAGUGGCGAAGGCGACUUUCUGGUCUGUAACUGACGCUGAUGUGCGAAAGCGUGGGGAUCAAACAGGAUUAGAUACCCUGGUAGUCCACGCCGUAAACGAUGAGUGCUAAGUGUUAGGGGGUUUCCGCCCCUUAGUGCUGCAGCUAACGCAUUAAGCACUCCGCCUGGGGAGUACGACCGCAAGGUUGAAACUCAAAGGAAUUGACGGGGACCCGCACAAGCGGUGGAGCAUGUGGUUUAAUUCGAAGCAACGCGAAGAACCUUACCAAAUCUUGACAUCCUUUGACAACUCUAGAGAUAGAGCCUUCCCCUUCGGGGGACAAAGUGACAGGUGGUGCAUGGUUGUCGUCAGCUCGUGUCGUGAGAUGUUGGGUUAAGUCCCGCAACGAGCGCAACCCUUAAGCUUAGUUGCCAUCAUUAAGUUGGGCACUCUAAGUUGACUGCCGGUGACAAACCGGAGGAAGGUGGGGAUGACGUCAAAUCAUCAUGCCCCUUAUGAUUUGGGCUACACACGUGCUACAAUGGACAAUACAAAGGGCAGCGAAACCGCGAGGUCAAGCAAAUCCCAUAAAGUUGUUCUCAGUUCGGAUUGUAGUCUGCAACUCGACUACAUGAAGCUGGAAUCGCUAGUAAUCGUAGAUCAGCAUGCUACGGUGAAUACGUUCCCGGGUCUUGUACACACCGCCCGUCACACCACGAGAGUUUGUAACACCCGAAGCCGGUGGAGUAACCUUUUAGGAGCUAGCCGUCGAAGGUGGGACAAAUGAUUGGGGUGAAGUCGUAACAAGGUAGCCGUAUCGGAAGGUGCGGCUG
rnacentral:rRNA from 1 species